UCUUCCCUCUUUCUUCGUGCCUCCUCCCUGCACGUCGAGCGCACGGACGAGAAGCUUGCUUCUCUGAUGUUAGCGGCGGACGGGUGAGUAACACGUGGAUAACCUACCUAUAAGACUGGGAUAACUUCGGGAAACCGGAGCUAAUACCGGAUAAUAUUUUGAACCGCAUGGUUCAAAAGUGAAAGACGGUCUUGCUGUCACUUAUAGAUGGAUCCGCGCUGCAUUAGCUAGUUGGUAAGGUAACGGCUUACAAAGGCAACGAUGCAUAGCCGACCUGAGAGGGUGAUCGGCCACACUGGAACUGAGACACGGUCCAGACUCCUACGGGAGGCAGCAGUAGGGAAUCUUCCGCAAUGGGCGAAAGCCUGACGGAGCAACGCCGCGUGAGUGAUGAAGGUCUUCGGAUCGUAAAACUCUGUGAUUAGGGAAGAACAUAUGUGUAAGUAACUGUGCACAUCUUGACGGUACCUAAUCAGAAAGCCACGGCUAACUACGUG
rnacentral:rRNA from 1 species